AAGGAUGGGUCUUCAGUCUGCUUAGGCAAACUAUCGACCUGUUUUAGAAACAUCAGAGGCUCUAAGUCAUACGAGCCUCAUUGGCGGGAUUUCGCCGUCUUCGUUUCUCUUUCUUCGCGGACGAACACGCGCCUGGGGUGGCGCGCGCAUUCGGCUUGUCGGGGUGGUCGUUGAUCGAUUGUGCCGGUGCUGCGUGCCGCAAGCUGCCUCUCGUGCUGAGGGCUUGUAGCUCAGUUGGUUAGAGCGCGCGCUUGAUAAGCGUGAGGUCGGAAGUUCAAGUCUUCCCAGGCCCACCAUUUUGUCGAGCGCUGCAUUCGUCUUCUGGUUACGGGGCCAUAGCUCAGCUGGGAGAGCGCGUGCUUUGCAAGCAUGAGGUCGUCGGUUCGAUCCCGUCUGGCUCCACCAGAUGGAUGAUCAUCGUGAUCUUGGCUCGCACCUCGUUGCUGUCAUUCGGACGGCGACGGUGGCUCAUCGUCCGCAACUUGUAUUCGCCGGCUUUGCGUAAUGCGCAGCCUGGCGGGUUUUCUGACAUCGUGAAGAGGAGAUCGAUCCGGGUUCGGGUCUUGCGGAGCAAUCUGCGGGGCUUGAUCGCAUAUCUCCGGAGCGUUUUCGGCGCCUGGUUGUUGCAAAACGACCGGGUUGUAAAACGCUUCUUGUUGACGACGCUUGACCGCAUCGUCAUCGGGUCGAUCUUACGAAGCAAUAACUGGUCUUUCUAAUCAGUGUCCGUUUGCGGCGUCGUCUUUGAAGGUUCGCCCUUCGGGAUGUGCUGCGAGCAACAUUCUGCCGAGUGUGUGGACAUUGAUAAUGAGAGCAAUCAA
rnacentral:tRNA from 1 species